rnacentral:lncRNA from 1 species
UUUUUUUUUUUUUUUUUUUGCUCUGCUUUUGUUUUCCGGACAGUUGUGUGUGCAUUUGGCCCAGAAGGCUGAGCGUCCAUCGACCUCUUCCUAGCCAAGGAUGAGCCGGCGCAGGGUCAGCCGUUGACCUCUCCUUUCAGCUCACACCUCAGAGGCAGCCUUACGGCUCCCUGUGAGGAUUCGGAGCUCUCCAUGGCUCUGAGGCCCCGUGGCGCAGGGCACCUGUUGGAAAAAACAAGCCACGUGGGGCUGACUUCCACGGGAAAGUCGCCGGUCCUCACCCCACCCUCCCGCUUCUCGGUGUCAGAUUUCAUCGCAGAAGCGGCUCUCUUUGCUGCAGUUUAAUAACUCUUAAUUUCCUGGAGGGGGACAGCACGUUAUAUCAUGAAGACGCAUCUCAGUCUGCACGGUCUGGAAAUUUCCACUCAUCUUUGUGAUCUUCGAAAUGUUUCUCUUCACGACAGAGCCUGAUUCGUCUUCUUCCUUAGCCCGGGGUGGCUGCCUCUCGAUGCCCAUGAAAGAGUAUCACCCAGCGUGCGGAGGGUGCUGUCUGCUUGCCCUUGACCCCUCAGUGCCAUCUUCCCGAGGGCUUCCCUCCUGAGUCACUGACAUCUGUCAUGAAUGAGGAACCUGCACGCUGAGGAAAGUGGUGCAUGUCUUGGUCUUGUUUCUGUCUUAGUAGAUGUUUUGCCAGUUUAACUGAAGCGCGGGUUUGAAGAAAUGGUAAGGCAGUUUGAAUUGUGCGAUCCGUUCUUUCUCCUUUCUCAUGGAAAUGCUUUUCUUUAAGCACACUGAUCCAGGCAGGGUGUCCAGUUUGGUGCUGCGAGGCUCCAUUCUUAAUUCUUGGCUCUGUGCAGUAGGUGGUAGAGGAACCCAGCAUGGCUGGCAUGUUGGUCCCUUGCAAGCGGCUCUUCGUGUGCACUUGCAGGUGCAUGGGGUUCGAUGAGAUAGGACCCCUCUUUCAUUAAAGUCGGACUUUCAGUGAGAAAAUGGGGUAACCCAGCAGCCUCAGAGGUCUUUGGUUGCCAGCAGCAGAUGUCAGCUAUGGCUCAUUUUAUAAAAAGAAGGGAAUUUAUUGGCAGUCUUCUGGGGGAAAUUGAAAGCAGCGUUGAACCAUCAGAUCUGAACGCAGCCUCAAGGGCCCGCACGUGCCUCGUGUCCCCCUCUCUGGCCCGCCACCAUUCACUCUCCUCUCCAAGGUGGUUGCCUCCUCUUGCUUCCUGUUUCACUAAGAAAAUAGAUGUGACCAGAGACCGCCCACAAGCCGCCACACGCACCUGUGCCCAUGUGUUCACCGUCCCUCCGUGGGCGACAGAGGGACACUCAGUGCUCUUACCUAAAGGCAGCGCCCCUUCCCCAGGGCAUGACGGCCACUCCCAGUUGCAUCCAGAAGGAUUUGGCUCCAGCAGACCUGCCCUCUGUCUCCUCGCACCGUUCAUUCAGUUUCGGCCAAAUCCUCCUCGUCCAUGCACGUAGUCUCUGCAAUCCUUUCCAAAGGCGGAACAACGCCAACAAAACAAAAAGCCUUUCUGGAUCUUGCUUCGCCCUUCCGGAUGCCGUGCCGUUUGUGUGUGCGCCUCUCAGCAGAAUGUCGCAGAGAGGUGUCUGCACGGCUGCGCGCAAAUCCUCUGAGGAACCUGCAUGUUCAGGAUUUCCAACCCGACCGCCCUUGCACUGAAAUGCCUCCUGGUGGUGUUGCUAAGACAGUGUCGGAGUUCCCUGCUGCUUCUGAAGGAUUUAGCCCAUGGUUCACUCACUCCUUCUUGAAAUGCAUUCUUUUUUUUUUUUUUUCUUUUUCCAGGGCCGCACCCGUGGCACAGGGAGGUUCCCUGGCUAGGGGGUCUAAUUGGAGCUGUAGCUGCCAGGCUACACCACAAUCACAGCAACGCCAGAUCCGAGCUGCGUCUGCGACCUACACCACCGCUCACAGCAACACCAGAUCCUUAACCCACCGAUCGAGGCCAGGGAUCAAACCCGCAACUUCAUGGUUCCUAGUCUGAUUCGUUAACCACUGAGCCACGACGGGAACUCCUGAAAUGCAUUCUUCACGGGCUUCUGGGGCAUCUCUCCCCAGGCUGCUUUUCCUUCCUUCUUCCACUGCUCCUUUUCAGUCUUGCUCUCUGUGCCCCCGCCCCCGACCGAUUCCUUCAGUCCUGUGGUCCUGAGACCCACUCUGCCCUCUUUCCCUCCUCUCUUCCCUCUAAUGAGGUCUCCUUCUAGCAUGGGAAACACUGGCCCCUUUGCUCCCUCCCUACUAGCAUUGCUUAAUUUUCAGCACGUAUCUCCAUCUAAUAUACAUUUGACUGAUUUAUUUACUCUUUUCUUCUCUCUGAAAUGUGUCUGCCUCUGCAUUGCCUGCUUCACCAAGAAAAUUGCAUGGAGCAGAUGGCUCUCCAUUAAUAUUUGCCAAGUGAGGAGUUCCCAUCGUGGCUCAGUGGUUCACGAAUCCGACUAGGAACCAUGAGGGUGUGGGUUCGAUCCCUGGCCUUGCUCAGUGGGUUGAGGAUCCAGCAUUGCCGUGAGCUGUGGUGUAGGUUGUAGAUGCAGCUCGGAUCCCACGUGGCUGUGGCGGUGGUGUAGGCCGGCGGCUACAGCUCCGAUUCCACCCCGAGCCUGGGAACCUCCAUAUGCCAUGGGAGCGGCCUAGAAAAAACAAAAACAAAAACAAAACAAAACAAAAAUUCAUCAAGUGAAAUAAAGGGUGGAAGAUACCCAGGAGACUUGGAGGUGUCCCUGGAGCACUAGCUUUUGAAUGCCUCAUCUCUGAGCAUCUUUGUUUCCGGUGAUUCCACUACACAUGAGCGUUACUAAUAAAGAGAGUUGUGAGGCCUCUCUUGGGGGGUGCACUUACUUCUUGACGUAGGUGGUAAUGAAUGGGGUGCUCAGAUGAUGGUCUUGGUAGAACCACCUGUAAUAUGUCAUAGGAGGGGGGCAGUCUAAGGAAAAAUUGGACGCCAUUCUUCAGAUGUUGCCAGGUAGGUAGAUCGGGUACUCCCAAGAGUGGUGUCGACUGAGACACAGCUCUUUACCUUAGAGAUUCCCUGUUUUGUAUUGACAGCUUCCGGCCUUGGCACAAAUAUGAACUCCAAGGUGGAUCUUAUAAGUGCCUGGAUGACCCUGUUGUGCUCUAUAUGUAGAAGAUGGGGCCAUUGUAAGGAUACAUUGAAAAGAAUGAACACAGCCCUUCCGAUGGUUCUCUAUUACUCGGUUACACGGCUCAGUUCACCAGAAUCUUGACUUUGUUUUUGCACGAGCGAACUCCUCCUGGAACCCUGGGGCCUGCUUUCAGAGACGUGCCAUGGGCCCAGCAUCACCUCCAGGGGUGGUGGAUGGAGCAAAGGUGCUCAUUGGUGGACCAGGCUCCAGAACCAAACACACUGAAACAUGUCACCUCAAGUCACCAGGCAAAUGGGGAUUUCCCAUGUCAAACCUGCCUUUCGGUCUAGCUGGCGAGUCAGGUUUUCUUACUCUUGCUGUUGAAAGAUAACAUUUCGCUGCUUGAAGAGCCACACUUCCCUUCUCACUUGAACUGUUACCUAAACUGCUGUGGAUGCCACACAGAUAAGAGUUUCUCUUGCAGACUUGUUGCUUGUCUCACGCAGUCCCCCUCCCUGACCCUAGCCAGAGAAAGAGAACGAGAACGUGGGCAAAACUGUAGGUUUUCCUUUGCUCGUCAUGUCAUUGCUGUGUCCUGACUCUUUUUGGGAAAAAAAAAAAAAAA